rnacentral:rRNA from 1 species
UACGGAGGGUGCAAGCAUUGAUCGGAAUUACUGGGCGUAAAGGGCGCGUAGGCGGCAAAAUAAGUCAGAUGUGAAAUUCCACAGCUCAACUGUGGAGCUGCAUUUGAAACUGUUUAGCUAGAGCAUAAUUAGGGAAAACGGAAUUCCACAUGUAGCGGUGAAAUGCGUAGAUAUGUGGAGGAACACCGGUGGUGAAGACGGUUUUCUGGGUUAUAGCUGACGCUGAGGCGCGAAAGCUAGGGGAGCAAACAGG